rnacentral:rRNA from 1 species
GAUUCGAUUUGUUUUAAAUGUAAACUUGUUUGGAAGGUUUAGAAUAAGAUUUUUGAUUUGUUAAGAAAAAUAAUUUUUAAUAGUUGACUGAUUAGUAUGGUAAAUUUAGAUUGAGACUAUAGUUUAAAAGUACCGUGAGGGAAAGUUUAAAUAUAAUGAAAAAUUUAAUUUUGAAAAAGAAGAUAUAAAGUUUUGUACCUUUUGUAUCAGGGAAGAUUUAAAUUUUCUAGUUAAAUUAGGUAUCCCGAAAAAAGAAUAGCUAAAAAAUUAAAAUUGUCUUAGUCGAAAAUAAGUUCUCAAUAAUUUUUUAGUGGUGAAAUAUUAGUCGAGUCUUUUAAUAUCUGGUUAUUUCAGAAAAAAAUUUAAUUUUGUCUGAGUAUAAUAAAAUUAACUCAGGUAAAUAACUGGAGGGAAAAGCUUCUAGUUAGAUAAUUGAACAUAAAAGUUAUAUAACUGAAUUUUAUUUUAACUAAGCUUAGAAGUAGCUAUGUUAAUAAAGUGUUUUAACUAAAAUUUUUUAAUAGUUGAUAUUUAUAUGAUUUUUGUUUGUUAGUAUGAAAUUUUGAUAAUAAAUGUUAUGUUAUUGGGAAUAAUGAUCUUAUUAGUAUAAUUGUCUUUGUUAGGAAAUUGAUUAAAUAAAAUAAAAAUUGCACUUUGUUAACAAAUUGAGGAUGCAAUAAAGGAACUCGGCAAAAUAAUUUCUGCCUGUUUAUCAAAAACAUGUCUUUAUGAAAGUUUAUAUAAAGUCUAGCCUGCCCAGUGAUGUUUAAAUUUAACGGCCGCGGUAGUAUGACCGUGCUAAGGUAGCAUAAUAAUUUGUCCUUUAAUUGGGGACUGGUAUGAACGGUUGAACAAGAAAUUAACUGUCUCUAUUGCAAACUUUGAACUUUACAUUUAAGUGAAAAGGCUUAAAUAGUAUAGGGGGACGAUAAGACCCUAUAAAUCUUUAUACUUUAACUAAUAAAUUUUAAAGAUUAGUUGCAAAUUUAGUGUUAUUAAGUUAAAAUAUUUUGUUGGGGCGACAGGAGUAUAAUAAGUAACUGCUUUGUUUAUAAAUUUAAUUAUUUUUAAUGUGUAAAUUGUAUUGAUCCUCUGUUGGAGAAAUCAGACUAAGUUACUUUAGGGAUAACAGCGUAAUCUUUUUUGAGAGUCCAUAUCGAAAAAAUGGUUUGCGACCUCGAUGUUGAAUUAAAGAUCCUUGAUGGCGUAGGGGCUAUUGAAGGAGGUCUGUUCGACCUUUAAAUCUUUACAUGAUUUGAGUUCAGACCGGCGUGAGCCAGGUCGGUUUCUAUCUCCUAUAAGAAAUGUAAUUCUUUUAGUACGAAAGGAUUUAAGAAUUGAAAUAAUUUUUUAAUGUGGAAUA